rnacentral:lncRNA from 1 species
UCAGCCCAAACACCCCUACAUAGCCCAGCUAGGCCAUCUAGCCCCCCUUGUGACCAGAGUCGUCUGAUCAUGAUCGGAGGGCUCAAAAAUUGUGGCAAACCCUCAAACCCUACCCCCUGCUAUAUAUAGCAGCUCCUCCUUGCCUAAAAUAGUCUUACCCUACCCCCCACCUAAAAAUCUGCAUCCCACCACUUGAGCCUCCGUAUUGCUGCCC